GGCGGAUAGUGGGUGGUGGUGCGGGAGUGCGAGAGUGCGGGUGGUGCGAGUGGUUCAAAGGUCGAAUUGGUGUUGGAACUGUUUCUGGUGCGUAUGCCGGAGUUUAAUCUUAUCGGCCGGGAUCGCUCCGCACACCCGGGUCCAGAACUACUUCAUUUGCCUCCUCGGGGGGAGACCACCCCACCCCACCGUUUCUCCGUGCGAGAGCGUAUUGCAUAAUUUCACAAUUUUCCAUUUUGAUGCUCGUUUUGCGCAGCCACCGCCACUGCCGCAGCCGCCGUCGAGAUGUUUGUCUAAUCAACUGUCAUUUGUUUGACGUUUCCCUCAGGGAAGUCGACAACGACAACUCCGGAGAGAGGCUGCGGCUGGGAAAUCAGACUGGGAAUGGCAAUGCGAAUGGUCUAGAACACAUUAUUCUCUCAGUGCUUGGCGUGGGGAUGACAAUCGGAUCCAAAACGCACCAGGACACGGAACGCCGUGCACUGCUUCGUAGGCCUCGGCACUCUUGAUGAUUACUGCGGGGUGCGGGGAUACGUGGGCUGCUCAGCGAAUUUCGAGGGUUCAGGGGUGCUCUGCCAUCCUGGACAAAAAAGUUAAAAGCCAAGUGUGUGCCUGUCUCCGAGCAAUUCCGUCCCCCUGCCACGCCGCAGUGCCACCAUCGACAAUGACAGCCAAAACGUAAACGCAAAGCCAAAUGUUGUUUUCAGUGAAUUUGAUGACUUUUAUGGGCGUUGAGACAAGAGAUCAGGCGUUUAAGAUGUCCAUGGGGUUGCCCAUUUCCCAUUGUCGUUGUUCCUACCGCUCGACUGCUUCCCGUCCUAGGGCUUUUGGUCGUUUGUUGGCCAGGCAAUUGGCCUAAGGCGCUUAAAAUGAUUUCUAAUUAGCCAAAAAACGAAUAAGAAAUGUCUCUCCAAUUUUUUUAAGGGGUUCAAUGGUGAUUUCAAAAAGUCUAUUCAAAUAUAUAUUUUCAAGAUUUAA